rnacentral:lncRNA from 1 species
AGGAAAGCCAGGGAUAGAAUGAUGUGAAGUCACUCACUAAAGCAAGAUUCCAGCAAUACCAAAAAAUACCUUCUGAGGAACAAAUUUACCUUCCAUUGAAGACCUCUGGCCCGAACUCUCCUGCUGACAAGUGGCAAUUUGAAAACUGGUCUUAUGACUCUUAAUUCUAGUUCUCUUUAUCGGCUCCCAUUCUCUUUGUUGUCUAAUCGAAUUGCAGUUUGAUUAGAAAAACUGUGGUUCAUGUGAUUAUUUUUUCUUUGUUAAGCUUUCUUUCAUGAAAUGCACAUUUUUCUUUGGUGACUAACCAAAGAGGAGUUCACAGGUGGUUUAUCAGGGU